UGGCUUGAUGAACAAUCAAAUUUCGCUGUGUUCUUACCGAAAUCUCACGUUGACGACACUAAUUUUUACCUUGGAGAACUGAUUC
rnacentral:snoRNA from 1 species